CAACUACUCCCUCUGUCCCAAAUUUCUUGUCUUAGAUUUGUCUAGAUACGGAUGUAUCUAAUACUAAAAUGUGACUUGAUACAUCCGUAUCUAGACAAAUCUAAGACAAGAAUAUUGGGACGGAGGGAGUACUUU
rfam:Triticum urartu cultivar G1812 contig1216192, whole genome shotgun sequence.